GGCCAUGGGCCUAAGUGGGUUCUCAACCCAACUUUGAUAGAAGCAAAGUUGAUUUUGAUCGCUGUCACAUGCUUAGGGCAGAGGGUUUUUUCUAUUAGAUCUGAACUUGGAAGGAGGGGCUCUAGAAUCCCCCUUCCAUCCCGGCAGUGGGCUUCAAGUAGUCUCACCAGAGACCAUGCUCUUGACCUGGCACCUUGGUCCUGGAUUCACGUGAUGAUUCGCGCUACUGUUUUGGUCAUGUCCUGGUGUAUCACCCCUAUUAUUUACUUAAUAUUUUUUCCUCUGAAUCAGUUCAUUUUUAAAGUUUAAGAAAUAUGCUUUAAAAAGAAGUGCUCAGGGUAAAGGCUGAAGUCCCUCCGAAGGCCCCAGGCACCUCCCUGACUGCACCUCCUGCCCCUCCCCACUCGCCUGGUGCAUCGCGCAGCCAGCAGCCACGCCAGCUCUCUGCAGGACGCCCCAGCCUUCCGACCUCUCAACUUCUUGGUUCCUCUCCGCGCACUCCCACCCUCUGAUACUCACUUGGCUCACUCGCUCUCCUCCUCCCGUUUUCGCCAAAGCUCUGGUCAUCGGCUGACACGCAUGUUACACUUAGGGGUCGAUUGCUCGUCCCCAGGCUGUGAGCUGAGGGAGGGGUGAGAGCCCUGUAUGUUCUGCUCACUGCAGGACACCCAGCGCCUGCAACAGUAGCUGGCACACAGUAGGUGCUCAGCUAAUGGAGCCUACACACCAGCUGGAGAGUCGGUGAUUAAACCACCAAGCACACAGGGGACGGGCGAGCAAAGAGCCUGGGAAGGAGACAGGCUCAAGAGAGGAGGAAAGAGCAGCCGGAGAGACGGACGGAGAGAAUAUACCUUUUUCGCCCCCUGCUCCUCUUCCACGCCAUCGCCAAUCACGAUGUAGACGGCUUUUCUGCCGAAUCUCUGCAUUAUCCUCUCAAAGCAGCUCUCCUUCCCUGCACACACGGACGAAGGAAAGACACUCGGUGUUGUACAUCUCCUUCACUCGCCGGUAGCGGAAGGCCAGCUUCCUCAUCCAGUCCACGCCGCCGUGCACGCCAGAGCCCAGGCACAAGUUGGCCCCCGGGGCCGAACUGUGGAAGCCAUCAGCGGAGAAGUUGUAGGUGCUGGGGAGACGGGAGAGGGCAGGGGGUGGGAGAAGAGACAGUGUUAAUGUCGGGGAGGUGGGAGCUCU